UACGUAGGGGGCAAGCGUUGUCCGGAUUUAUUGGGCGUAAAGCGCUCGCAGGCGGCUCGAUGCGUCGUGCGUGAAACACCCCGGCUCAACUGGGGAGGGUCGUGCGAUACGGUCGGGCUGGAGGCCAGUAGGGGGAUGCGGAAUUCCGGGUGUAGUGGUGGAAUGCGUAGAGAUCCGGAGGAACACCAGCGGCGAAGGCGGCGUCCUGGACUGGUACUGACGCUCAGGAGCGAAAGCGUGGGGGGCGAUCCGG
rnacentral:rRNA from 1 species